GACGAACGCUGGCGGCGUGCUUAACACAUGCAAGUCGAACGCUGAAGCUUGGUGCUUGCACUGGGUGGAUGAGUGGCGAACGGGUGAGUAAUACGUGAGUAACCCGCCCUUGACUCUGGGAUAAGCCUGGGAAACUGGGUCUAAUACUGGAUACGACAUGUCACCGCAUGGUGGUGUGUGGAAAGGGUUUUACUGGUUUUGGAUGGGCUCACGGCCUAUCAGCUUGUUGGUGGGGUAAUGGCUCACCAAGGCGACGACGGGUAGCCGGCCUGAGAGGGUGACCGGCCACACUGGGACUGAGACACGGCCCAGACUCCUACGGGAGGCAGCAGUGGGGAAUAUUGCACAAUGGGCGGAAGCCUGAUGCAGCGACGCCGCGUGAGGGAUGACGGCCUUCGGGUUGUAAACCUCUUUCAGCACGGAAGAAGCGAAAGUGACGGUACGUGCAGAAGAAGCGCCGGCUAACUACGUG
rnacentral:rRNA from 1 species